CUGACCCAGCGACGCCGCGUGGGGGAAGAAGGCCUUCGGGUCGUAAACCCCUGUCAGGGAGGAAGAAGGCUUACGGGUUAAUAGCCCGUGGAGUUUGACGGUACUCCCAGAGGAAGCCACGGCUAACUCCGUGCCAGCAGCCGCGGUAAUACGGAGGUGGCGAGCGUUGCCCGGAAUCACUGGGCGUAAAGGGGGCGUAGGCGGCCGGACAAGUCGGACGUGAAAGCCCGGGGCUCAACCUUGGAAUUGCAUCCAAAACUGCCUUACUUGAGUCCAAGAGAGGUUGGCGGAAUUCCCGGUGUAGGGGUGAAAUCCGUAGAUAUCGGGAGGAACACCGGUGGCGAAGGCGGCCGGCUGGACGGCACCUGACGCUGAGGCCCGAAAGCGUGGGGAGCAAACCGGAUUAGAUACCCGGGUAGUCCACGCCGUAAACGAUGGGUGCUAGGUGUGGGGGGUUAAACCUUCCGUGCCGAAGCUAACGCAAUAAGCACCCCGCCUG
rnacentral:rRNA from 1 species